AUGAACGAAACCAACAGAGACGGGAUCGCACACGGCUCCUCGACGGAAAAAAGACCAGCGGAGGCACGGCGAAUCCAAGCCAAUUCCGGCUCCCAGCUCCGCAAGCCUCUUUGCUCUCUCCUGCCCGCCUCCAUGCCGUCGCCCUCGCUCCGCCUCGCCGUCGUCGGCGCGGGCGCGGCCGGCCUGGCGGCGGCACGGGAGCUCCGCCGCGAGGGCCACGCCCCCGUCGUCUUCGAGCGCGCCGCCGCCGUGGGGGGCACCUGGCUCUACGCCUCCCCCGCCCCCGCAGCCGCCGCCGACCCGCUCGGCGCCGCCGCCACCCACUCCAGCCUCUACGCUUCGCUCCGCACCAACCUCCCCCGCGAGGUCAUGGGCUUCCUCGACUUCCCCUUCACCGCGGCGCGCGGCUCCGUCGUCGACGCGCGCAGGUUCCCCGGCCACCAGGAGGUGCUUCGGUACCUCGAGGACUUCACGCAGCGGUUCGACCUUUACGGGCUCGUCCGGUUCCAGACGGAGGUGGUCGGGGUCCGGAGGGAGGCCGGCGGGAGGUGGGCGGUGACGUCGAGGAAGCUCGGGGAGAAGGGGGAGCAGGACGAGGAGCUGUAUGAUGCCGUCGUGGUUUGCAAUGGCCAUUAUUCAGAGCCUCGCGUCGCCUCCAUACCUGGUGAUCUGUACUUUCCAACAUUGACAGGUGCAGAUGCCUGGCCUGGAAAGCAGAUGCAUAGCCACAAUUACCGUGUGCCUGAGCCAUUCCUUGAUCAAGUAGUGAUCGUUAUUGGGGCCUCGGCAAGUGCAGUUGACAUUUCGAGGGACAUUGCAAGCGUUGCGAAGGAGGUCCAUAUUGCCGAUAGAUCAGCGCCGACUUCCACUUGUGAACAGCAGCCUGAAUAUGACAACAUGUGGCUUCAUUCCAUGAUUGACCAUGCACAGGGAGAUGGCACUGUGGUGUUCCAGGAUGGCAGCUCAAUCAAAGCGGAUGUCAUCAUGCACUGUACUGGCUACCUGUAUGACUUCCCGUUUCUUGGGGAUGAUAGCACCAUCACUGUGGAUGACAACUGCGUUGAUCCAUUAUACAAGCAUGUUUUCCCUAUAGAAGUGGCUCCUGAUCUGUCUUUCAUCGGAGUGCCGUGGAAGGUUAUCCCUUUUCCACUGGUUGAACUCCAAAGCAAAUGGGUCGCCGGUAUUCUAUCUGGACGGAUCAAGCUUCCAUCGAAAGAUGAAAUGAUGGAAGAUGUCAAAGCCAUCUACUCGAGACUGGAAACUCGUGGAUGGCCCAAGAGAUAUACCCACAACUUCAGUGGUGGUUAUCAGUUCGAAUACGAUGAUUGGCUCGCGGAGCAAUGUGGCCAUCCACCUAUUGAAGAAUGGAGGAAGCUGAUGUAUGCUGCUAAUGCGAAGAAUAAGGCUGCUCGUCCGGAAAGAUACCGCGAUGAGUGGGAUGAUGAUGGUCUGGUGGCACUAGCAAAUGAGGACUUCAAAAAAUACUUCUAA
rnacentral:rRNA from 1 species